rfam:TPA: Bos taurus chromosome 23, whole genome shotgun sequence.
AAACAGGGCCUACUGAGGCCCACACACACUCCCAUUAAAUAGCAG